ACUUUGACUAUGUUUAAAAUGUCGCUAAGAUUUUCUUUGUCUUAGCUAUAUUAAGGAAAAAUAUAGCCAAAGAACGUUAGUUACCAAAUCCUUAAUGCCUGUUGCUUGUUUUUAAUUUUUUAACAGAAAUAUUGACAAUACACUCUGCGUCAGAACAUAAAGAUGUUAUCCAAAAUUCUCUUGGUAGUAUAUACAGCUUUCCAGACUACAUAUCUCCAAGAAAAAUCUUGGAUUACUUUAAACAUAUCAUUUAAGAAUCUGAAAAAUGUUCUUACCUUAAACAAUUUAAACAAAUGCGAUUUUGUGAGUUUUUUGAUUGAUAUCGUCUCAGUGGACUCAAGGACAAUCUCACUUUCUCAUCCAUCUCCUUGUGAUAAAAUGACAGGCAUUUCAAGAGAUAAGAGGCAGGCUGCUGCCCACUCAAAAGUAUCAUUCCACCCAUCAGACAGAGCUCCCAAAUUAAGGAUCGUAGCAAUUACACACAAGCAACAGCAUGGAAAAGAAGCCAGUGCUGCAGAGGUGAUCUGGAUCCAGGAAGAAAGGGAAGAUACCUUCAAUCAAAAAUUUCUGGAGUUACAAAUGCAUUUCAACAAUGAUCAAGUCAUGCUGCAACAGGCACAGAGAACAAAUAACUGCAAGAAGAAAUUGCUGAACUUGGGUCUGAAAUCCCAGCAUUAACAAAAAAGGUGAGAUCAAUAAUGUUCAAAUGGGCGAGCUGAUGACAAAUUUGAGAUAACUCCAUUGUGGAUUUCAUACCUGCUGUUUUAUCCUCAUUCUUCACAGAACACAUGACAAGUUGGUAUUAUGAAAAUCAUUAUAAAACAAUUACUUGCCAUUUCUAAUUAUGUAAUAUUUGGAAAAUGUCCAGAUGUAAAUGUGUCAUGCUUCUUUUUUUAACUUUUGGGCUGUAAAAUAAUUAAGAAAGAUGAAAUUGAAUUAAUGUAAUAAAACACUAUUUGACAUAAAAUAAAUUUUGUAACUGAUCCAACAAGUUGUAGAUAGAACUCCUUAAACUCCAAGUAGCAUUGAACUUUCAGAUGCCAUUGAAAAUACGUUGCUGCUUUUUAAUGACUUCAGGAGAUUGAACAACUUAACUUUCUUUCGAAUAUUAUACUGAUUCCCCCCAAACCAAACGCAAUAUGCUUUUCUCAGUGACAAAAGCCAAGUUUCU
rnacentral:lncRNA from 10 species